rnacentral:tRNA from 1 species
GUGCUCAUGGUGUAGUGGUUAUCACAUCUGUCUAACACACAGAAGGUCAUAGGUUCAAGCCCUGGUCAGCACA